rnacentral:rRNA from 1 species
UACAGAGGUCCCAAGCGUUGUUCGGAUUCAUUGGGCGUAAAGGGUGCGUAGGCGGCGCGGUAAGUCGGGUGUGAAAUCUCGGAGCUUAACUCCGAAACUGCAUUCGAUACUGCCGUGCUUGAGGACUGGAGAGGAGACUGGAAUUUACGGUGUAGCGGUGAAAUGCGUAGAUAUCGUAAGGAAGACCAGUGACGAAGGCGGGUCUCUGGACAGUUCCUGACGCUGAGGCACGAAGGUCAGGGGAGCAAACGGG